rnacentral:rRNA from 1 species
GAUGAACGCUGGCGGCGUGCCUAAUACAUGCAAGUCGAACGCGCGGAUCAGGAGCUUGCUCCUGUGACGCGAGUGGCGGACGGGUGAGUAACACGUAGGCAACCUGCCCAUCAGACUGGGAUAACCACGGGAAACCGUGGCUAAUACCGGAUAAUCCUUUCCCACACAAGUGGGAAAGUUGAAAGGCGGCUUCGGCUGUCACUGAUGGAUGGGCCUGCGGCGCAUUAGCUGGUUGGUGGGGUAACGGCCCACCAAGGCGACGAUGCGUAGCCGACCUGAGAGGGUGAUCGGCCACACUGGGACUGAGACACGGCCCAGACUCCUACGGGAGGCAGCAGUAGGGAAUCUUCCGCAAUGGACGAAAGUCUGACGGAGCAACGCCGCGUGAGUGAAGAAGGGUUUCGGCUCGUAAAACUCUGUUGUCAGGGAAGAACGCCGACGGGAGUAACUGCCCGUCGGGUGACGG